GUUCCCUCCUGCCGCUAAUCCACCUGCGCACCUGAAACCCAUCCACUAAUCAUUGCCAGCAGUAUAAAGAACCUCGCUCUAAACUCCAGUCCACGAGAUUGUUAAGUUUGCCAAAUGGUCUAUCAUCCAUUGCUGCCUUUGUUUCUUUCCCAGCUCCAUGCCUGUCUUCCUGUCUGGCGAAAACCCAGCCACCACUGCCUGCCAUGCUCUACUGUCUUCCCCGGCUCAGCUCCCAAAACUUCAUCACUACAAGUCUACAAUAAACUUGCUUUUGAACCGUUGAACAACUCAACAAGUUGUUUUAAUAUGUUUAACUGAAUACUUUAUUUUGUACAACUGUUUUAUAUGUACAACUCUUAUAAACAUGUUCUUGUUUUGACUGAAAGAACUGAUUAAAAAAACAUGUACAAAG